rnacentral:rRNA from 1 species
GACGAACGCUGGCGGCGUGCCUAAUACAUGCAAGUCGAGCGGAUCUUCAUUAGCUUGCUUUUGAAGAUCAGCGGCGGACGGGUGAGUAACACGUGGGCAACCUGCCUGUAAGACUGGGAUAACUUCGGGAAACCGGAGCUAAUACCGGAUAAUCCUUUUCCUCUCAUGAGGAAAAGCUGAAAGACGGUUUCGGCUGUCACUUACAGAUGGGCCCGCGGCGCAUUAGCUAGUUGGUGAGGUAACGGCUCACCAAGGCGACGAUGCGUAGCCGACCUGAGAGGGUGAUCGGCCACACUGGGACUGAGACACGGCCCAGACUACUACGGGAGGAAGCAGUGGGGAAUCUUCCGCAAUGGACGAAAGUCUGACGGAGCAACGCCGCGUGAGCGAUGAAGGCCUUCGGGUCGUAAAGCUCUGUUGUCAGGGAAGAACAAGUACCGGAGUAACUGCCGGUACCUUGACGGUACCUGACCAGAAAGCCACGGCUAACUACGUGCCAGCCGCCGCCGUAA